rnacentral:rRNA from 1 species
GUUGACCUCGGAUCAGGUAGGGAUACCCGCUGAACUUAAGCAUAUCAAUAAGCGGAGGAAAAGAAACCAACAGGGAUUGCCUCAGUAACGGCGAGUGAAGCGGCAAGAGCUCAAAUUUGAAAUCUGGCUCCUUCGGGGCCCGAGUUGUAAUUUGUAGAGGAUGCUUCGGGCGUGGCCGCGGUCUAAGUCCCCUGGAACGGGGCGUCGCAGAGGGUGAGAAUCCCGUCUUCGGCCGGCCGGCCCCGCCCGUGUGAAGCUCCUUCGACGAGUCGAGUUGUUUGGGAAUGCAGCUCUAAAUGGGUGGUAAAUUUCAUCUAAAGCUAAAUACUGGUCGGAGACCGAUAGCGCACAAGUAGAGUGAUCGAAAGAUGAAAAGCACUUUGAAAAGAGAGUUAAACAGCAUGUGAAAUUGUUGAAAGGGAAGCGCUUGCGACCAGAGUCGGCCGCGGGGGCUCAGCGGGCACUCGUUGCCCGUGCACUCCCCCGCGGUCGGGCCAGCGUCGGUUUCGACGGUCGGUCAAAGGCCCCCGGAAUGUGUCGCCUCUCGGGGCGUCUUAUAGCCGGGGGUGCAAUGCGGCCAGUCGGGACCGAGGAACGCGCUCCGGCACGGACGCUGGCUUAAUGGUCGUAAGCGACCCGUCUUGAAACACGGACC